rnacentral:rRNA from 1 species
ACGGGAGGCAGCAGUCGGGAAUAUUGCGCAAUGGAGGAAACUCUGACGCAGUGACGCCGCGUAUAGGAAGAAGGUUUUCGGAUUGUAAACUAUUGUCAUCAGGGAAGAUACAAGACAGUACCUGAGGAGGAAGCUCCGGCUAACUAUGUGCCAGCAGCCGCGGUAAUACAUAGGGAGCAAGCGUUAUCCGGAUUUAUUGGGUGUAAAGGGUGCGUAGACGGGAAUGCAAGUUGGUUGUGAAAUCCCUCGGCUUAACUGAGGAACUGCAACCAAAACUGUAUUUCUUGAGUGUCGGAGAGGAAAGUGGAAUUCCUAGUGUAGCGGUGAAAUGCGUAGAUAUUAGGAGGAACACCAGUGGCGAAGGCGACUUUCUGGACGAUAACUGACGUUGAGGCACGAAAGUGUGGGGAGCAAACAGGAUUAGAUACCCUGGUA